UGGUGUAGCAGUGAAAUGCGUGGAUAUCAGGAGGAACAUCAAUGGCGAAGGCAACUUACUGGACAUUUACUGACGCUCAGACACGAAGGCUAGGGUAGCGAAAGGGAUUAGAUACCCCUGUAGUCCUAGCAGUAAACGGUGCCCGCUUGGUGUGGGAGGAUUCGACCCCUUCUGUGCCGGAGCUAACGCGUUAAGCGAGCCGCCUGGGAAGUACGGUCGCAAGACUAAAACUCAAAGAAAUUGACGGGGACCCGCACAAGCGGUGGAGUAUGUGGCUUAAUUCGAUGCAACGCGAAGAACCUUACCUAGGCUUGACAUGCUUGUCGUACUCUCCCGAAAAGGAGAGGUCACUUCGGGUGGACAAUGCACAGGUGCUGCAUGGCCGUCGUCAGCUCGUGUCGUGAGAUGUUUGGUUAAGUCCAGCAACGAGCGCAACCCCUGUGAACUGUUGCCAGCGCGUAAAGGCGGGGACUCUGUUCAGACUGCCCAGAUCAACUGGGAGGAAGGUGGGGACGACGUCAGGUCAGUAUGGCCCUUACGCCUAGGGCUGCACACGUACUACAAUGCCCAGCACAAUGAGAACCGAUACCGCAAGGUGGAGGAAAUCUGCAAAACUGGGCCCAGUUCGGAUUGGAGGCUGCAACUCGCCUCCAUGAAGUCGGAAUCGCUAGUAAUGCCGUAUCAGCUACGACGGCGUGAAUACGUUCCCGCCUCUUGCACACACCGCCCG
rnacentral:rRNA from 1 species